UAAGGUGCAGUGAUGAUGCUUUUGUGGACUAGAGUUUCUGAUUUGGGGUUCUUCUUCCCAAUAAAUUGAAGACAAACCCUUGGCUGUCUGAGCACUUUU
rnacentral:snoRNA from 1 species